rnacentral:rRNA from 1 species
CUUGGGGAAUUUUCCGCAAUGGGCGCAAGCCUGACGGAGCAAGACCGCGUGGGGGAGGAAAGCCUUUGGGUUGUAAACCCCUUUUCUCAGGGAAGAAGAAAGUGACGGUACCUGAGGAAUCAGCCUCGGCUAACUCCGUGCCAGCAGCCGCGGUAAUACGGAGGAGGCAAGCGUUAUCCGGAAUGAUUGGGCGUAAAGCGUUCGUAGGUGGCAAUUCAAGUCUGCUGUCAAAGACAGUAGCUCAACUACUGCAAGGCAGUGGAAACUGAAUAGCUAGAGUGCGGUAGGGGCAGAGGGAAUUCCCGGUGUAGCGGUGAAAUGCGUAGAGAUCGGGAAGAACACCGGUGGCGAAAGCGCUCUGCUGGGCCGCAACUGACACUGAGGGACGAAAGCUAGGGGAGCGAAUGGGAUUAGAUACCCCAGUAGUC